rnacentral:rRNA from 1 species
CGCAUCUGUGCAUGCAGCAUAUAAUAAGCGGAGGAAAAGUCAACUACCUACGCUUAGGAUGUUGAAGAUGUAGCACAUCAUACACGCAUGACACACUGCAUAUCAAUAAGCGGAGGAAAAGGCUGCGGGAUUGAACGACCGCUACCUACGCUUAGGAUGUUGAAGAUGUAGCACAUCAUACACGCAUCUGUGCAUGCAGCAUAUCAAUAAGCGGAGGAAAAGAAACUAACAAGGAUUCCCCUAGUAACGGCGAGUGAAGCGGGAAGAGCUCAAAUUUGAAAUCUUAAAGGGUUUCCCUUUACGAAUUGUAGUUUAAAGAAGUGUUUUCUGUUGAGGUUUUGGUAAAAGUUCUUUGGAAUAGGACAUCAUAGAGGGUGAGAAUCCCGUAUUUGACCUUUACUUUCAACUUUGUGACACACUUUCAAAGAGUCGGAUUGUUUGGGAAUGCAGUCCAAAAUGGGUGGUAAAUUUCAUCUAAAGCUAAAUAUUGGCGAGAGACCGAUAGCGAACAAGUACCGUGAGGGAAAGAUGAAAAGAACUUUGAAAAGAGAGUUAAACAGUACGUGAAAUUGUCAAAAGGGAAGCGUUUGACACCAGUGUUGUUUUUCUGAAAAUCAAUUAAAGAACUGUUUAUGCUAAGUUGUUUAGACUUUAUCAGCUAACUGUUUAGUUUUGAGCUUUUCUUUAAUGCACUUUUCAGUUAACAAGUCAACAUCAAUUUCUUUUGCUGUAAAAAAGCUUGAGGAAGGUGGCUUGAGAUUCGUCUUAAGUGUUUAUAGCCUCUUGCCUAUGCAGUCGGAGAGAUUGAGGUCUGCAGCGUAGAUCCUUCGGGGCUAAAUGCAUUUGUGCUAAGUUAUAGCAUUUUAUAGACAACUUAUUGACUAUGAUUUGUCUUGUAGCUUACUCGCUUAUGUUAUUUUACCUACGCUUAGGAUGUUGACAGCAGUAUAGACUGU